AUAUACUAGGUAGUAAUAUACAAAUGUACAGUAUUUUACGUACAUAAUUUCAAUCUAUUGGUGGUCAGUAAUCCGGACAUGUUUUAUUUCGCCGCUUCGUAUACAUUUUAUCGCCUUGACAUUGGACUAGAAAUUAAAUUUAUAAUUUUAUUCGAUCGGGCCACAAACGUCUCACGCGAAUAUACAGAAUUGUAUUACAACUUG